rnacentral:lncRNA from 1 species
AAAUUUGCCAGGACAAUAUUCUUUCCCUAGUGUUUUCUGAACAGGUUUGAAUUGGGAUGGUAAAUACAUACUAGGUCAGCAUUUGACAGUAGGGGUUUCGAUCUUGUAAUAGAAGCCCAAAGCUACUGCUUCACUCUUUCUUUUCUGAAACUAACUUAACUAAAAGGGCGUGAACAUUGGAUGGUCUUAAAUAGGAUCAGAAAGACAGGGUAGGUAUGAUUUCUUUUAGCUAACAGCAAUGCAUAAAGAACUUUUCCUACUUGUAACAACAUGUUUGGUUUUUUUUUGUUAUUGGACUGCAGUACAUGAAAGAAAUGAGUUAUUUGUGUUUUUUAAAUAGGAAGCAUCCCCUAUGAGAUGACUUCCUCAAUGCCUUCCAGCCUGUCUGUGGCAAACCUGGGAAGAAUACAAAUAAAAUGCCAUGAAUCCCAAAAGAGAUGGGGGCUGCUGUGGGAAAAACAUGAAUGCAUUCAGUAGCUGCACAAAGUAUAUAGUGGAAUACUGCCAGACCAGCCAGUCAGCUCUUCACUUGUUGCAGCUCUGCAUCUGUGAUGGUCUUCAUCUGUCCGUGUUUAGACAACUAAAUUUUCUACAGCCUAGAGGCACACAUUGGGACUGA